UUGAAAAAAAAUUAUUGGACAUAUACCAUUUUGGUUUUCCUACCACAGAUCUCUUGGUAUCUCAAAGUGAUACUAUAGCUAAGUAUGAUAUAUAGCAAUUUAAUACAGACAAAUGCCUGGUGGCAAUAUUAAUUUUCCACAUAAAAGGCCACUUCCCCUGUAUACAUUCUCUGUGAUUAAAACAUAGGAUAGGCAUGAGGGGCUAAAUCAAUAUUUUUUCUUUCAGUGUUCAGCCACCACAGCCACAAAUCAGUUCAAAUUCCAGCAAUAAGUACAGGGCAAGAAUAAAACUGAUCUUCGUACUCAAAUGUCCAAUUUCUUCUGCUUGUCGAUACAAAUCAUGACUUCACACCCUUUCCCAUAAUUCUUAAACUUGUGAUUUUUACAAGUGAGGAUUGGACAUUCAAAUGAUUUGUAUCCUAUACAAGGAAAGAAAUGCUUAACAAAUUUUAUAAUUAAAGAUUGUAUUACCUUCGCCCCCCCCCCCAAACAUUUGAGAACAUUUUCUCCCCUAUUUAAUUUAAUCACAUGGACAACUGAAAACUUUCUUGCAGGAACAGGUAGUAGUCUAUAAUGUAACUGUUCCUCUUUGCUGCAAUUUUUUUAGAUCUAUUACGCAGCAAAAUAGGAUACCCGUGACAUUCAUAUGCAGUGCUAAACAAAGACCUCUUCUCUGUGCCACUAUUUGAGAGAAGUCUGUUCUAUAAGAGAAGUUUUCACCACAAACUUUUGUUACUUUGUUUUAAUGGACAGAUUAUCAGAAAAGCUUGGAAAUAGGAGCAAAUACCAAAUUUUAACUGUGCAACUCUUGUAAUAUACACUUCAGACCUCAUCUGCCCUAAUGGAAGCAGAUCUCCAACAGGAAUCAGUGGGAGUUCUGAUUGCAUAGAAUGAACAAGCACAUGCAAAGGGACAAUAACCCAGUAAUCUUGACCUUUCAGAUUUUAUACUGACAUGGUGAACACAUUGAACGUUCCUAAUAUCCAAAUACUGAACUUCAGUUUGAGUAAGGAAGUUAUUAAAGGUGUGGUUUUCUUAAUCUACUGCCUACAGCCUAGUGCUUUAGAGAUCCUCAGAGGAGAGGUACUGUAUCAAUGCAAAGUACCUUUUACACCAGCACUAGACCAAAGAGCCUUAGCUGUGAAAAUUGCAUGGGUCAUUUGUUGAGGAUGCAUAAUCCAUGCUGCGCAGGACAAUCAAUCUGCCUGCAGGAGCUUACAACCUAUAGAUAAAUAUUGACUUUCUGCAAAACAGAAUGACUAAAUAACCCUUUCUUUGCUGUUCACUCUUGAUCUACGCCAAUCUAUAGUUAUAGAUAAACCUUAGCAAAUCUAUUUUCUUGACUAAGUAUAACAGCUAUUGAGAUGUUUCCCUUGGCAUACUCUGUGAAUUAUGACUGGGUACAGGUGGUUAGACUGUAUGGAGAUGAGUCAGAGGGGCGGGGGUGAGAAAUCCCAUUAGUAUGUUAAAGGCUUGACCAGAAAUGUCCACAUUACUAGACACUUCAAGCUAAUUUUAACAAAGCCAAAGCCCAGGAAUAAGAUAUCCUUACAAAGAGUGCCAGUCAUUUGAUAUACCAUUUCCCAUCUCCUAAAUGUUUAGUUUUUUAAAUAAUUUGAGAUACUGUUUCCAUUUAACAUUGCGUUUUAUAUGAGUAAGUAAAAUUCCAAUACUUUGAAUUAUUCCUUUUUGUAAAGUCAAAGCUGUAAGUUAUACAGACGGCUCUCACAGCCAUGUAAUACUGUAGAUACAAACAGGGGAAGUUUAAUUGUUGACUUUUUACAAGGUUGCUAAUGAGUAUCUUUUCCAUAUUAGUUAGAACAUCUCUCGAUAAGUCUAUUCUUCCAAACAUGUUCAGCCUUUCAGCCCCGAGCACUGUAUUAGCACAGGGAGGAGGGGAAGCAAUGGUGCGAUAGCUGUGCUUUUUAAACUAGAAAUUGGAUUCUCUUCAACUGAUUUAACUUAUGACCUUCUCAGCUGUUGGAUCAAGUUGUUUUAGCAGGCACCUAGCCAGGGCAAGUAGAGCAUAAGGGUAUGCAAGUUGCUCUGCAUUCACUCUCUGGACAUUAAACUAUUUGUAAAAGAAAAGCUCCUCCUGCGAUUUGUCAGAUAAAAGCAAUUUUUAUAUGAUUUUAAAUGAAACCUGUUAUUUCAGUCUGAGAACCAUUACAAUGUUUUAAGAGUUAUAUGGACUUUUUUUUUUUUUUAUCAUCGUGUCAGAGAUAAGUGAACGGGGAUAAACCGAUAACAGUGGACACUGAUGGACACCCCACCUUCUUCUUGUUUUGUUACAAAUUGUAGACUGGCAAGGUUCUCAAUAUAACACAGAUGGCCUACCCUGUUGCAGUUUACAACAAAGCACACAGACUCCCCAACUGAGACUGGGGCCCUGAUGUCCUAGGCACUGGACAGAGGCAGUUCUUGU